GACGAACGCUGGCGGCGUGCUUAACACAUGCAAGUCGAGCGGUAAGGCCCUUUCGGGGUACGACGAGCGGCGAACGGGUGAGUAACACGUGGGUGACCUGCCCUCAGUUCUGGGAUAAGCCUGGGAAACCGGGUCUAAUACUGGAUAUGACCUCAUGACGCAUGUUGUGGGGUGGAAAGCCUUGUGCGACUGAGGAUGGGCCCGCGGCCUAUCAGCUUGUUGGUGGGGUGAUGGCCUACCAAGGCGACGACGGGUAGCCGGCCUGAGAGGGCGACCGGCCACACUGGGACUGAGACACGGCCCAGACUCCUACGGGAGGCAGCAGUGGGGAAUCUUGCGCAAUGGGCGAAAGCCUGACGCAGCGACGCCGCGUGAGGGAUGACGGCCUGGUGUAAC
rnacentral:rRNA from 1 species